AGUUCAACAAUCCAGGGCGCUGUUAGCAACAUUUCACUGCUGAUUCACAGCAACAUUCAAGACACAGAAGAAAUCUCCCCUCAAAAAAUUACCUGUGGACAUGGAGCACUUGACAGUUACGGCUGAAUUAACCCAUGUGCAACACAGGCAGUUACAUUCUCAUCCAGGG